UUGAACGCUGGCGGCAGGCCUAACACAUGCAAGUCGAACGGUAACAGGAAACAGCUUGCUGUUUCGCUGACGAGUGGCGGACGGGUGAGUAAUGUCUGGGAAACUGCCUGAUGGAGGGGGAUAACUACUGGAAACGGUAGCUAAUACCGCAUAACGUCGCAAGACCAAAGAGGGGGACCUUCGGGCCUCUUGCCAUCGGAUGUGCCCAGAUGGGAUUAGCUAGUAGGUGGGGUAACGGCGCACCUAGGCGACGAUCCCUAGCUGGUCUGAGAGGAUGACCCGCCCCACUGGAACUGAGACACGGGCCAGACUCCUACGGGAGGCAGCAGUGGGGAAUAUUGCACAAUGGGCGCAAGCCUGAUGCAGCCAUGCCGCGUGUAUGAAGAAGGCCUUCUGGUUGUAAAGUACUUUUAGCGGGGAUGAAGGGAGUAAAGUUAAUACCUUUGCUCAUUGACGUUACCCGCAGAAGAAGCACCGGCUAACUCCGUG
rnacentral:rRNA from 1 species